rnacentral:rRNA from 1 species
UACGUAGGUGGCAAGCGUUGUCCGGAUUUACUGGGCGUAAAGAGCGCGCAGGCGGUCGUAUAAGUCGAAUGUGAAAGCCCCCGGCUCAACUGGGGAGGGUCAUUCGAUACUGUUCGACUCGAAGGCAGGAGAGGGAAGUGGAAUUCCGGGUGUAGUGGUGAAAUGCGUAGAUAUUUGGAGGAACACCGAUGGCGAAGGCAGCCCCCUGGGCUAACACUGACGCUCAUGCACGAAAGCGUGGGGAGCAAACAGG